CUGGUUGAUCCUGCCAGUAGUCAUAUGCUUGUCUCAAAGAUUAAGCCAUGCAUGUCUUAGUAUAAGCAUCCUUAUACUGUCAAAACUGCGUACAGCUCAUUAUAUCAGCAAUUAUUUAUUUGAAGGUCACCUAUUACAUGGAUAACCGUGGUAAUUCUAGAGCUAAUACAUGCGAAAAAACGAACCGCAAGGUUCGUUGUAUUUAUUAGAUAAAAAAUCAAACCCUUCGGGGUCUUAUUGAUGAAUCAUAAUAACUGUUCGAAGCGAAUCGGAGCAAUCCGCGCUAGUUCAUUCAAAUUUCUGCCCUAUCAGCUUUCGACGGUAGUGUAGUGGACUACCGUGGCGUUAACGGGUAACGGAGAAUUAGGGUUCGAUUCCGGAGAGGGAGCCUGAGAAACGGCUACCACAUCCAAGGAAGGCAGCAGGCGCGCAAAUUACCCAAUCCUAAUACAGGGAGGUAGUGACAAUAAAUAACAAUGGUGACGGAGCAAUCCGUGGCCAAUUGGAAUGAGAACAAUUUAAACCCCUUAUCGAUGAUCAACUGGAGGGCAAGUCUGGU
rnacentral:rRNA from 1 species